rnacentral:rRNA from 1 species
UUGCAGAAUCCCGUGAACCAUCGAGUUUUUGAACGCAAGUUGCGCCCGAAGCCAUUAGGUCAAGGCGUCUGCCUGGGCGUCACAC